GUCUCCAAAGGCUAUGUUUUCACCUGGUUUACUGCAUUUUCUUUUAUUUCUCAGUAUCUUCUACCAUUCAAAAUAGCAAAUGGUUUUAAAGCUUAUUUUAAUUUAUUUAGUUAGUUGUGACUGAUUUAUUCAUUGAUUGAUUCAUACCAUGCUUAGAAUUGCUGCCUAGGGGAGGCCCUUUCAUGGAUGGCAUGGAUGCCAGCAUCAGGACUGGCCUGUGGGUUAGGCAGGACCUCAGUCUGUGGCAGUUUCUUAGGGCAUUUAGCACAGACCAAGGUGUAAUCCUUAGCAUAACUGGUUGGGAAACUCCCUUCCACCGGUUACUCUGGAGUUGAUCUGACUGUAGCACACCGAUUCACGCUAGCACAUCUCCUAAGCCAGUCUUUCAAUGUAUUAGUUCACAAUGAGAGAGUCCUUUUCGGUAGCUUGUGUCCACUUUCCCAGAUUGUUCCAGAUAUCAAGAUAAUGGGGAUAACACAUCUAUGAAUAGACAUAUGCUUGGCAGGAAUUACAGAAAGCUAAAUAACCUAAAGAAAUUAAAUGGCCUUAAAGCCAUGAAAAAUCUGAUGAAAUGAACAUUUCUAAUAACUGAGAUUUCUGCCAUAGAAUAGGUCCAAUAAUGAACGUACAUUGAACCUGUACAGGGUACUAGUUACCAUGUCAGGCACUGGAGAUGCAAAAAUAGCUAAGACCUCAUAUGACCUGCCCUUGGGGAAUUUAUGAUCUUGGACCUUCUCUCUUUCUUAAACAAUGCUCAGUAAACAUUACAAAAUUCUCUUUCUUAUAUCUACAUCCAGCAUAAUGAAGUUAAUUUCAGAGAAAAGGAUAUUGACUUUGGACACCCUCUGGAGUACCAUAUUUACAGGCUAUCAAAUUAGAAAAGAAGAAGGCAAUUAGUUUUUCUAUAGAAAGUCAUUAUUUAUGGAAGAGGAGACCCUUUAUCUGCAUUGCAGUUCUGAAGAUUCCACUCUGUUCCAGUCGUUGUUAUGGGCACAUUUUCAACGUUUGAUUAAGAGCCAUAAGGGAGGCUUCCUCCACCCACAGAAAAAUUCCUUUAAGGAAUCGUGAGACCAUCGACAUUUAGCAGCUGUUUAAAAGACUGUUUAGAUUCCUGGAAUGAUGCUGGGGAAUUCUUGGAAUUAUGGUCUUGGGCAAGAAGGGAACUCGAGUAGGAAAGUCAACAAUCUACAUUUCAAACCCCAGGAAACUUUUUUAUAUAACCUAGUAAUCUCCUUCGCUCCACAGAGUGCUUGCUGAAUGGAGAAGUAUAAUGGAAAAGAUAGUUAAUAGUCCCUUGUACUCUGGAUCAAAAAUAAGGUGGGAGACCAAACUUUUCAUUAAACUAGUUGGGUCCAAUCACUUAAUGUGAAAUGCUUACUUCAGGGUCUGUAGUGCUUGUUGUUGAUUAAUGCACCUAACAGGUCUUAACAGAGAAAGCGAUGAAUUCAAGCAGUGUCUCCCCACAUUUUACAUAUAUUUAAAAUAUAUUGGUGCAUAACAAACCAGGCAACACUUAAUAGUUUAAAGCAGCUGUUCUGUUAUUCCCCAGAGCUCUGUGUGUGGACCAUGGUCACUUGGGCUCUAGUCCUGUGAUGUCACCUGGAUGACAGUCAUUGGGAGGUUCAUCGGUGGAAGCCUCCAAGACAGCUCAGUCCCACAGCUGCCAGUGGGUAUGGCCUGGGGUCUGGAGCUUAGCUGGGGAUGUUGACCCCAGCACCUACACAUGGCUGUUUGUGUGGCCUGGGAUUUCCACAGCACAGCAGCAGGGUCUGAGAGGCAGAGUCCUAGGAGUGAUUGUCCCCAGGCAGCAGAAGCAAAAGCUCUCGUCAGUCCUCUAAGAGGCUGAGCCAGCAGUGGGCACAGUGCCACUCUGCUGUAAUCUAUACCUUAAGUAUUCACAGUGCCAGGUUAAAUUCAGGCUGUGGGAAGAUACACUCCACUUCUCAAUGGGGAAAGUUCAAAGCAACUGUGGCCAUCUUUAAUCCAUCAGUUUUCUUGCCAAGAAAUAAAGCUCUGCAUGGCACAUCAACUUUCAUUUAUUUAACAUCUAUCUCAAAAGAUAUGAGUUAUAUGGCAAAAAAUGUCACAUUCAUGAAAAAAUUCUAAGAAAUUAA